GAUGAAGAACGCAGCAAAAUGCGAUAAGUAAUGUGAAUUGCAGAAUUCAGUGAAUCAUCGAAUCUUUGAACGCACAUUGCGCCCGCUGGUAUUCCGGCGGGCAUGCCUGUUCGAGCGUCAUUUCAACCCUCAAGCCCCCGGGUUUGGUGUCGGGGAUCGGCUCUGCCCUUCUGGGCGGUGCCGCCCCCGAAAUACAUUGGCGGUCUCGCUGCAGCCUCCAUUGCGUAGUAGCUAACACCUCGCAACUGGAACGCGGCGCGGCCAUGCCGUAAAACCCCAACUUCUGAAUGUUGACCUCGGAUCAGGUAGGAAUGCCCGCUGAACUUAAGCAUAUCAAUAAGCGGAGGA
rnacentral:misc_RNA from 1 species